AUUGAACGCUAGCGGGAUGCCUUACACAUGCAAGUCGAACGGCAGCACGGACUUCGGUCUGGUGGCGAGUGGCGAACGGGUGAGUAAUGUAUCGGAACGUGCCCAGUAGCGGGGGAUAACUACGCGAAAGCGUAGCUAAUACCGCAUACGCCCUACGGGGGAAAGCAGGGGAUCGUAAGACCUUGCACUAUUGGAGCGGCCGAUAUCGGAUUAGCUAGUUGGUGAGGUAAUGGCUCACCAAGGCGACGAUCCGUAGCUGGUUUGAGAGGACGACCAGCCACACGGGGACUGAGACACGGCCCAGACUCCUACGGGAGGCAGAAGUGGGGAAUUUUGGACAAUGGGGGAAACCCUGAUCCAGCCAUCCCGCGUGUGCGAUGAAGGCCUUCGGGUUGUAAAGCACUUUUGGCAGGAAAGAAAUGGCGUGUGUUAAUACCAUGCGCAAAUGACGGUACCUGCAGAAUAAGCACCGGCUAACUACGUGCCAGCAGCCGCCGUAAUAC
rnacentral:rRNA from 1 species